AUUGAACGCUGGCGGCAUGCCUUACACAUGCAAGUCGAACGAGAGCCAUUGUAGCAAUACGAUGGUUUCUAGUGGCGAACGGGUGAGUAACGCGUUGGUGAUCUGCCUCGAAGUGAGGGAUAACAGUCCGAAAGGACUGCUAAUACCUCAUGUGGCUGCAAGAACUAGAAUCUUGCUACUAAAGGAGCAAUUCGCUUCGAGAGGAGCCUGCGUCCCAUCAGCUAGUUGGUAGGGUAAUGGCCUACCAAGGCUCAGACGGGUAGGG
rnacentral:rRNA from 1 species